UGGGGAAUAUUGCACAAUGGGCGAAAGCCUGAUGCAGCGACGCCGCGUGAGGGAUGACGGCCUUCGUGUUGUAAACCUCUUUCAGCAGGGACGAAGCGCAAGUGACGGUACCUGCAGAAGAAGCACCGGCUAACUACGUGCCAGCAGCCGCGGUAAUACGUAGGGUGCAAGCGUUGUCCGGAAUUACUGGGCGUAAAGAGUUCGUAGGCGGUUUGUCGCGUCGUUUGUGAAAACCAGCAGCUAAACUGCUGGCUUGCAGGCGAUACGGGCAGACUUGAGUACUGCAGGGGAGACUGGAAUGCCUGGUGUAGCGGUGAAAUGCGCAGAUAUCAGGAGGAACACCGGUGGCGAAGGCGGGUCUCUGGGCAGUAACUGACGCUGAGGAACGAAAGCGUGGGUAGCGAACAGG
rnacentral:rRNA from 1 species